AUUGAACGCUGGCGGCAGGCUUAACACAUGCAAGUCGAGCGGGGUGAUGGUGCUUGCACUAUCACUUAGCGGCGGACGGGUGAGUAAUGCUUAGGAAUCUGCCUAUUAGUGGGGGACAACAUCUCGAAAGGGAUGCUAAUACCGCAUACGUCCUACGGGAGAAAGCAGGGGAUCACUUGUGACCUUGCGCUAAUAGAUGAGCCUAAGUCGGAUUAGCUAGUUGGUGGGGUAAAGGCCUACCAAGGCGACGAUCUGUAGCGGGUCUGAGAGGAUGAUCCCCCACGCUGGGACGGAGACACGGCCCAGACUCCUACGGGAGGCAGCAGUGGGGAAUAUUGGACAAUGGGGGGAACCCUGAUCCAGCCAUGCCGCGUGUGUGAAGAAGGCCUUAUGGUUGUAAAGCACUUUAAGCGAGGAGGAGGCUCUUUUGGUUAAUACCCAAGAUGAGUGGACGUUACUCGCAGAAUAAGCACCGGCUAACUCUGUGCCAGCUGCCGCCGUAA
rnacentral:rRNA from 1 species